GCUAGCCGCUUUGUGAGUUCAUAAUUCUACCUUACACAUAUGGCUUCCUUCACAAUUGUUUCUCUACAAGUUGGCCAAAGGAACACUGCAGUGUAGGGGAAAGCUCAAGGAAGAGCAGAGGGCAAAUGUAGAGGUCCUGGGAAUGAGGUGGUUUCUUGUGUCUUUUGACAAGGAGUAUGAGGCUUUGACAAGGAGUAACAACAGCUAUAAGGUUUCCUGGUUUCCUAUCCAAGGCAAAAGGAACAUCUUGGCUUCUCCCAGGGCUGUGGACGGAGAAGGCUUGGAGGUGAGGAAAAGAGAGGAAACAAGGUGGAUUGGAUUGGAAAGGUGUAAAUGUGAAAAUACAGUGAAAACUGGAUAAAAGGAGCCAGCUGGGUAUAGACCUAUUGCUGGUGACACCUGCCUAAUGAAGCUUUGCACCCAAUUACGACUUAUUAUUAAUAUCCAUUUCAAAGUAUUGUCCUAGGAGAGGGACUUGUGUGUGUGUGAGUAUAUGUGUGUGUGUGUGUGUGUAUCUAUAUAUGUAUUUAUGUAUGUAUGAGGAAAUCUAAAUGGCAGCAGCUGGAGAAGGGACCUUGGUCACAGUUGACCACAGAUCUAAGAGGCCACCAACAGGAGACAACUGGUGUGCGUAUGUUUCCCUGUGUAACUUCAAUCCUAUGUGUUUAUACGUGUGUAAUUCUUUAGUAAACACAACUAGAGAAGCUGUCAUGUAGGCUAAAGGGGUCUAGGAGCCAGCUACUGGGGAGACCACAAAUUCAAGAGCUAGCUACUUCAAAGACCAUAGAUCUAGACCAGAUCCAAAAGGCCCAUGUAUUUAUGUGUCUGCAUGUGUGUAAAUCUGAGUACCUGUAGCUGAAGUGGGGUUGUGGGAUACAGGAUGCCAGAAUCAGGGUGACCUGGGACGUGGAGGUCAGCUACAGGCUAGGCUGGGUGUUUGAGGCAGUUACUAGAGGGAUGCAUAUUGUGUGUUGAUUUAUAUAC
rnacentral:lncRNA from 1 species